rnacentral:rRNA from 1 species
AGGAGGAGGACAACAGGUUGGAACGACUGCUAAUACCCCGUAUGUCUACGGAUGAAAGGAGAAAUCCGCCUGAGGAGGAGCUCGCGACUGAUUAGCUAGUUGGUAGUGUAAUGGACUACCAAGGCGACGAUCAGUAGCUGGUCUGAGAGGAUGAUCAGCCACACUGGGACUGAGACACGGCCCAGACUCCUACGGGAGGCAGCAGUGGGGAAUUUUCCGCAAUGGGCGAAAGCCUGACGGAGCAAUACCGCGUGUGGGAGGACGGCCUACUGGUUGUAAACCACUUUUCUCAGGGAAGAAGAACUGACGGUACCUGAGGAAUCAGCAUCGGCUAACUCCGUGCCAGCAGCCGCGGUAAUACGGAGGAUGCAAGCGUUAUCCGGAAUUAUUGGGCGUAAAGCGUCCGUAGGUGGUUAUGCAAGUCUGCUGUUAAAGAGUGGAGCUUAACUCCAUAGAGGCGGUGGAAACUGCAUAGCUAGAGAGUGGUAGGGGUAGAGGGAAUUCCCAGUGUAGCGGUGAAAUGCGUAGAUAUUGGGAAGAACACCGGUGGCGAAAGCGCUCUACUGGGCCACAUCUGACACUGAUGGACGAAAGCUAGGGGAGCGAAUGGGAUUARAUACC